CUGUGGUGCUCGCUUCAGCUGUACUAAAACUGGACCGAUACAGAGAUUAGCAUCACCCCUGCGCAAGGAUGACACGCAAAUUCGUGAAGCAUUCCAUAUUUAA